CCGGAUAACAUUUUGAACCGCAUGGUUCGAAAUUGAAAGGCGGCUUCGGCUGUCACUUAUGGAUGGACCCGCGUCGCAUUAGCUAGUUGGUGAGGUAACGGCUCACCAAGGCAACGAUGCGUAGCCGACCUGAGAGGGUGAUCGGCCACACUGGGACUGAGACACGGCCCAGACUCCUACGGGAGGCAGCAGUAGGGAAUCUUCCGCAAUGGACGAAAGUCUGACGGAGCAACGCCGCGUGAGUGAUGAAGGCUUUCGGGUCGUAAAACUCUGUUGUUAGGGAAGAACAAGUGCUAGUUGAAUAAGCUGGCACCUUGACGGUACCUAACCAGAAAGCCACGGCUAACUACGUGCCAGCAGCCGCGGUAAUACGUAGGUGGCAAGCGUUAUCCGGAAUUAUUGGGCGUAAAGCGCGCGCAGGUGGUUUCUUAAGUCUGAUGUGAAAAGCCCACGGCUCAACCGUGGAGGGUCAUUGGAAAACUGGGAGACUUGAGUGCAGAAGAGGAAAGUGGGAAUUCCAUGUGUAGCGGUGAAAUGCGUAGAGAUAUGGAGGGAACACCAGUGGCGAAGGCGACUUUUCUGGUCUGUUAACUGACACUGAGGCGCGAAAGCCGUGGGGGAGCCAAACAGGAAUUAAGAAUACCCCUCGGGUAAGUCCCACGGCCGAUAAAAC
rnacentral:rRNA from 1 species